UACACAUGCAAGUCGAACGAUGAUCCCAGCUUGCUGGGGGAUUAGUGGCGAACGGGUGAGUAACACGUGAGUAACCUGCCCUUGACUCUGGGAUAAGCCUGGGAAACCGGGUCUAAUACUGGAUAUGACCUUCUGGCGCAUGCCAUGUUGGUGGAAAGCUUUAUUGCGGUUUUGGAUGGACUCGCGGCCUAUCAGCUUGUUGGUGGGGUAAUGGCCUACCAAGGCGACGACGGGUAGCCGGCCUGAGAGGGUGGACGGCCACACUGGGACUGAGACACGGCCCAGACUCCUACGGGAGGCAGCAGUGGGGAAUAUUGCACAAUGGGCGCAAGCCUGAUGCAGCGACGCCGCGUGGGGGAUGAAGGCCUUCGGGUUGUAAACCUCUUUCAGUAGGGAAGAAGCGAAAGUGACGGUACCUGCAGAAGAAGCGCCGGCUAACUACGUGCCAGCAGCCGCGGUAAUACGUAGGGCGCAAGCGUUAUCCGGAAUUAUUGGGCGUAAAGAGCUCGUAGGCGGUUUGUCGCGUCUGCCGUGAAAGUCCGGGGCUUAACCCCGGAUCUGCGGUGGGUACGGGCAGACUAGAGUGAUGUAGGGGAGACUGGAAUUCCUGGUGUAGCGGUGAAAUGCGCAGAUAUCAGGAGGAACACCGAUGGCGAAGGCAGGUCUCUGGGCAUUAACUGACGCUGAGGAGCGAAAGCAUGGGGAGCGAACAGGAUUAGAUACCCUGGUAGUCCAUGCCGUAAACGUUGGGCACUAGGUGUGGGGG
rnacentral:rRNA from 2 species